UUUUCGCAUCGAAAUUUUGGUUCGCUAAUACCGAUUAAAAGGGAAUCAGGAAAAGUUAGAAGCGCUAAAUUAGAACUACGAAGUAUAAGUAGGUAAUUGAAAUCUUUUAAUUAAUAAAACCUGAGCUGUUCCCGCAACUGUAAGCUUUGUUCCUAUUGGAAUGCUUGUAAAAAACUUCAAAUACCACUGUCUGCAAUAAGAUGGGAAGGUAAUUUACAGGACGCUAGCCAGGAGACCUGCCAGAAAUAAUAAAAACACG
rnacentral:ncRNA from 19 species